GGAGGGUGCAAGCGUUGUUCGGAAUUAUUGGGCGUAAAGCGCGCGCAGGCGGUCUGGAAAGUCUAUGGGUGAAAUGCCGGGGCUCAACCCCGUGCAUGCCCAGGAUACUGUCAGACUGGAGACACGUAGAGGCAAGCGGGAUUUCGGGUGUAGCGGUGGAAUGCGUAGAUAUCCGAAAGAACACCGGAGGCGAAGGCGGCUUGCUGGGCGUGAUCUGACGCUGAGGCGCGAAAGCGUGGGGAGCGAACAGGAUUAGAUACCCUGGUAGUCCACGCUGUAAACGAUGGGCACUGGAUGCGGGGGGGAUCGGCCCUCUCCGUGUCGCAGCUUACGCGUUAAGUGCCCCGCCUGGGGAGUACGGCCGCAAGGCUG
rnacentral:rRNA from 1 species